rnacentral:rRNA from 1 species
GUGNAAAGGUAGCAUAAUUAAUUGUCAUUUAAUUAAUGACUAGAAUCAACGGAUUCACCCUUUAAACUUUUCAUUUAUUUAACUCUUAUAACUUUCCUAUUUUGUUAAUAGGCAAAAUCCGAGUAAUAAGACAAAAAGACCCUCCAGAACUUUAUUUUCCUUUAAAUUCCUUAUAUCCAACUUUUUGGUUGGGGCAACCCUUAAUACUAACUUUAUAUUUUCCCUCUUUAUUUUCCUUAACUAAAUUAGUUACCUGAGGGAUAACAGUCUAAUAAUUUUUUAUAGCUCAAAUUCUCAAAAUUCAUNGCACCUC